GAUGAACGCUAGCGGCAGGCCUAAUACAUGCAAGUCGAACGGAUAUAUGUUUUUCGGAAUAUAUAUUAGUGGCGCACGGGUGAGUAACACGUACAUAACUUGCCCUCAAGCGGGGGAUAGCCUUGGGAAACUGAGAGUAAUACCCCAUAGAAUUAUUGGACGGCAUCGUUUGAUAAUUAAAACUACGGUGUUUGGGGAUAGAUGUGCGUCUGAUUAGCUAGUUGGUGAGGUAACUGCUCACCAAGGCGACGAUCAGUAGGGGGCGUGAGAGCGUGGCCCCCCCACACGGGUACUGAGACACGGACCCGACUCCUACGGGAGGCAGCAGUAAGGAAUAUUGGUCAAUGGAGGGAACUCUGAACCAGCCAUGCCGCGUGAAGGAUGACGGCCCUCUGGGUUGUAAACUUCUUUUGGAUGGGGCGAAAAAACGGGNUUUAUCCUGGACUGACGGUACCAUCAGAAUAAGCACCGGCUAACUCCGUGCCAGCAGCCGCGGUAAUGUAGUCGUG
rnacentral:rRNA from 1 species